CUACCUUUGAAAUCCUCGGAAUCUUAUGGAGACAUAGGAGUGCCUUCGGGAACCGAGAGACAGGUGCUGCAUGGCUGUCGUCAGCUCGUGUCGUGAGAUGUUGGGUUAAGUCCCGUAACGAGCGCAACCCUCGCCCUUAGUUGCUAACUGUGCCUUGAGCACAAAGAACUCUAAGGGGACUGCCAGUGAUAAACUGGAGGAAGGCGGGGAUGACGUCAAGUCAUCGUGGCCCUUACAGGUAGGGCUACACACGUGUUACAAUGGGAAGUACAAAGGGUUGCCAAACCGCAAGGUGGAGCUAAUCUCAAAAAACUUUUCGUAGUCCGGAUUGAAGUCUGCAACUCGACUUCAUGAAGUUGGAAUCGCUAGUAAUCGUGAAUCAGAAUGUCGCGGUGAAUACGUUCUU
rnacentral:rRNA from 1 species